rnacentral:rRNA from 1 species
UACGGGAGGCAGCAGUCGGGAAUUUUGGGCAAUGGGCGAAAGCCUGACCCAGCAACGCCGCGUGAAGGAUGAAGUUUUUCGGAAUGUAAACUUCGUAAGAAUAGGAAGAAUAAAUGACGGUACUAUUUGUAAGGUCCGGCUAACUACGUGCCAGCAGCCGCGGUAAUACGUAGGGACCAAGCGUUGUUCGGAUUUACUGGGCGUAAAGGGCGCGUAGGCGGCAAUUCAAGUCAGCUGUGAAAUCUCCGGGCUUAACUCGGAACGGUCAGCUGAUACUGCUUUGCUAGAGUGCAGAAGGGGCAAUCGGAAUUCUUGGUGUAGCGGUGAAAUGCGUAGAUAUCAAGAGGAACACCUGAGGUGAAGACGGGUUGCUGGGCUGACACUGACGCUGAGGCGCGAAAGCUAGGGUAGCAAACGGGAUUAGAUACCCCGGUAGUCCUAGCCCUAAACGAUGAAUACUUGGUGUCUGGAGUUUUUAUCCUCCGGGUGCCGUCGCUAACGUUUUAAGUAUUCCGCCUGGGGAGUACGCACGCAAGUGUGAAACUCAAAGGAAUUG